UACUUCGAAGCAUGACGUUCAUUUCGCUUAAAAUAAGCGAGGUAGCCUACGUGUCCGGAAAACACAGAAAUAGUUUAUUCAGACAUUAUUAUUAUUAUUAUUAUAUUAUUCCAGCGAAGUGAAAACAUGUCCAUAUAGCAUCGGCAUCUUUUUUUUUUUUUUUUUUAACAUUUUGCUAUCAAUAGCCAAUACCUACUAAAUCACAACAGUGAGCGAUAGUGGGGAGAUAAACGUCGCUUUUGUUUGUAAUAAUUUUGUCAGCCGGAUGCUGCUUUGUCAGAUGUGUACAGUCAGGAGGCAAGGGUCCAUUACCGAUCGCUGCUAUCGCAUAUUGCAAGCGCUGCCUGACGUGUUAUGGCUGACAGCCAUGUCACUGCGAAGGCAGAGAUAUCCAGGGAAGCCGUGUGUCACAGAGGAACUACAUAGCCUCGGAGUGAAAGAGAGGGAAGGAUAUUGCUGCCUGCUGUAGCUGAGUGCUGAAUCCCCUGUUGCAUUAGUAGAACUAUCCCUUCAUCGCAAUGCCCUCCUUCAAUUUGGGGAGAGGAUGUACAAGCGCUCUUCCGCCGCACGUGCAACCCGCUGCGCAGCACAAUCACAGCACGGGAGAAAUGCGCUUCCUGCGCAGUUCAUGCAGGCAGAUGCUGGCAGGCUGUGGGCGCCCAAUUGGCCAGAAGCGCUGCUCAUUAUCAGUAACCUUUAUCGAUAGUGUGUGUGUGUGUGUGUGUGUGUGUGUGUGUGGAGGUAUUGUGGUCCGGCAAUUUGCGGGAGUCAACAAUCAAUUCACAGACAUAUGUCUCCCAGUCAGGAGACAAUGGUCAAUAGUGUCAUCGUCAGUUCAGUUAAUAUUUCUUAAGUAACGGCUGAUUUCCCAUUUUUUCCUGUUUCAGUAAAAUAGUUUCCAUAUGGCUGUUAAAAAGUAUUGAACAAUACUGAUCCCAGUUCUUGUUUCUCUGUGGAACAGACAAUGGAAUUUCCAAUAAUGACAGUUAAUAGCAUGCUUGCAUAUUUAAUCAGAGAUAACCACACAACAUAUUGGGACUCCUUCAGUAAUUACUACACAAUGAUAUUCUUCUGUCUUUUUUGUUAUACAAUGUUCAUAGUACUAUAUGCAUAUUGAAUGCAUAUAUUAAACACUCUUUUUUGAAAUGGUAAGUAGUUUUGUAUUGUGUGCUCUUUGUUUUGCAUUGUAACUGACUGAGCUCCAUUUAUAAUCUGCAAUGUGUAUUUCUUAAUUUUCCAUUUUCUGUGUCUGAGAGAAUCCAUUUUAUUUCUAUUAUCAAGAAAAACAAGUAUGGACUUUCUUAGGCUUCCAAUAUUUUCCAAUUCCAUAGCUAAUGAAUAAUGAUUUUUUCUUCUCUCCAACGUUGCCGUCAUAUCCCCGUCCUUCUACAGUCUGCAUUUUUUGUUUGUCCUUUACUUUGUCUUUCAAAUAAAAGCAAGUAUUGCAUUUUUAA